CCUACGGGGGACAGCAGUGAGGAAUAUUGGUCAAUGGGCGCGAGCCUGAACCAGCCAAGUAGCGUGAAGGAUGACUGCCCUACGGGUUGUAAACUUCUUUUAUAAAGGAAUACAGUGAGGCACGUGUGCCUUUUUGUAUUUACUUUAUGAAUAAGGAUCGGCGAACUCCGUGCCAUCAGCCGCGGUAAUACGGAGGUUCCGAGCGUUAUCCGGAUUUAUUGGGUUGAACGGGAGCGUAGAUGGGUUGUUAAGUCAGUUGUGAAAGUUUGCGGCUCAACCGUAAAAGUGCAAUUGAUACUGGAAGUCUUGAGUACAGAUGAGGUAGGCGGAAUUCGUGGUGUAGCGGUGAAAUGCUCAGAGAUCACGAAGAACUCCGAUGGCGAAGGCAGCUUACUAAACUGCCACUGACAUUGAUGCUCGAAAGUGUGGGGAUCAAACAGGAUUAGAUACCCGGGUAGUC
rnacentral:rRNA from 1 species